rnacentral:lncRNA from 1 species
UUUCCCUUUGAUGCGCUUAAAGGAAAGAACAAAGCUGGUCCCGAGAACAAAGAUGGCAGUGAUACAGAGGAUGAUGAUGAAGACGAGGAUGGAGAUGCUGAGGAUCAGGAUGACGAUGAUGAUGCAAACGAUGAAGAUUUCUCCGGUGAAGAAGGGGGAGAUGAUGACGACGAUGAUGAAGGUCCAGAGGAGGAUCCUGCGGCUAAUGGCAAUGAAGGGAGCGAUGAUGACGACGACGACGAUGAUGAGGAUGGUGAUGAUGAUGAAGGAGAUGACGAUGAGGAAGAGGAAGAGGGAGAAGAUGAGGAUGAAGAGGAGGAUCAACCACCUGCUAAGAAGAGAAAGUGAAGUGUUUUUC